rnacentral:rRNA from 1 species
UGGUCGAGUGGUUUUGCGCAGAAAAUGUAACGGGGCUAAGUGUUCAACCGAAGCUUAGGCAUUGCAGUAAUGCAUUGGGUAGGGGAGCGUCGUAUGCGGGGCGAAGUCAGAGCGGAAGCACUGGUGGACUGCAUACGAGUGAGAAUGCCGGAAUAAGUAGCGAGAAUUAUGUGAGAAUCAUAAUGGCCGAAAAUCUAAGGUUUCUUGGGGAAGGUUCGUCCGCCCAAGGUUAGUCGGGAGCUAAGGCGAGGCCGAAAGGCGUAGUCGAUGCACAUACGGUAGAAAUUCCGUAACCACCGAACAUUUAAGCUAGAGGGACGCUUUCUUUAAGGUUAUCCCGGGCGAUGGUUGCCCCGGGCGUAAGGGACCGAAAUUUAGUAGGGAAGUAACUGGCGAGAGAGACGAGAAAAGCUCUAGUGUAUACUAAGGUGCCCGUACCGCAAACCGACACAGGUAGAUGAGGAGAGUAUUCUAAGGCCAACGGGAGAAGGGUUGUUAAGGAACUCGGCAAAUUGGCCCCGUAACUUCGGGAUAAGGGGCGCCUGCGAGAGCAGGCCGCAGUGAAAAGGCCCAAGCGACUGUUUAGCAAAAACACAGCUCUCUGCUAAAUCGAAAGAUGACGUAUAGGGGGUGACGCCUGCCCGGUGCUGGAAGGUUAAGGGGAGUGCUUAGCGCAAGCGAAGGUGCGAACUUAAGCCCCAGUAAACGGCGGCCGUAACUAUAACGGUCCUAAGGUAGCGAAAUUCCUUGUCAGGUAAGUUCUGACCCGCACGAAUGGCGUAACGAUUUGGGCACUGUCUCAACAGCCCGCCCGGCGAAAUUGUAGUACCGGUGAAGAUGCCGGUUUCCCGCAACUAGACGGAAAGACCCCAUGGAGCUUCACUGUAGCUUGAUAUUGGAUCUCGGUAUUCCAUGUACAGGAUAGGUGGGAGGCUAGGAAGCGAGCGCGCCAGCGUUCGUGGAGCCAACCUUGGGAUACCACUCUUGGGAUAUUGGGAUUCUAACCUGCGACCAUGAAUCUGGUCGGGGGACACUGUCAGGUGGGCAGUUUGACUGGGGCGGUCGCCUCC